UAUGGCAAACCUUAGUCCACAGGGAUUUCCACACAUUUAAAGUGCACAUUUACAACAAGAAGCAUCUGGAAGUGGUUGCACAGAUGUGCAAUGCUCUGCUUGUGCUUGCUACUUAUAUCUAAAGCAUGUGUAUAUAACUCAACCUGACGAAUGGCAGAAAAUAGGGAUGGGUACCGGUGUCAUGGCACCGGUUCUGACAUAAACGGUAGUAACCAGACCGAAAAGCAGCGCACAUUUCGGUGCUUUAUUUCGGUGCUUUUUUUCCCUGGGCUGUGAUACAAGUCUAGCCAAUCACUUUACGUUUCCGAGGAUAGUAGGCGGGUCCAGGUACGUACGUUCUGUUAGAGCAGAGCUACAGAUUAAAAAUGUCCAAGGCGAAGCGGUUAAAAGUCUGGCUGUACUUCACAGCAAAAUAUGCAAACUCAGCAGCCUGCAACAAGUGCUUUAAGCUGAUACUGUGAUACUGUCAAAGGAGGUAACACCUCAAAUCCGAUGAAACACCUGGCGACGCAUAGCGUUUUUUUUAAAAGCCGAGAAAUGCGCCGUAUCUGAUAGCUUGCUGCGAGACCUCACACCGUGCACGUCGGGUGGGUUGCCAGUUAUCGGGCCCGGAGCAACAUCCCCCAAAAACCCGAAGAAUAGAGUCCUGGCCCCUCGCCCUGCCAGUGUAGCAGAAAUGAUGAGGAUGAUGAUGGCAGCAGCAGCCGUUCUUCUCUGCAUGAGUAGCUUCAUGUUGUUCGUGUGUAAUUUACGUUGAGUAGGCUAACCACGUUAUUACAUUAAUGCAUGUAAGGUGAACUAGCAAACAUCAUCAUAGCUACAUGCGGCUGUCCUCUUGUUUGAUGGCAGAUACUCCCUUCACCCUGGCCAAAAAGGCUAAAAUGACCAAAGAAAAAGUGGGAAACAGUUAAACAUGAGAGGGUUUAAGUUUGUGUUUUUUCCAUUGUUUAAGCACUGCUUCCAGCCAAGAGUGAUGCCACAUAGCUGCAGAAAAGGCUAACAUUGUUAUCUUUUUACAAAAAAAACCAGCUGAACGUGAGAGGUUUUUGGACAAAGUUUGUGUUCUCCAUUCUUUAAGCACCGGUUCGAGCACCGUUUAAGUACCGGCACCGUUUCAAAAGUACCGAUUUGGCACCGGUAUCGGAUAAAACCUAAACGAUACCCAUCCCUAGCAGAAAAUGAGGAUGACGGUGUAGAGGUAUCAUGGUGUUCGACUCCCCUCAAGCUUUUUGGAAACUAAAGUUCUCAGCUGGCGAUAAGUCUCCAUGUGUAUGCUUUAUUGGUUUAAUACUUUAGAUUUGAUACUUCUGUUUAUAUAUCGACUUGUGCCUGUGGUUCAUGUUGUGUUUGCUUGUGUGUAACCUAUAGAUUAUAUCUAUAGUCUUUAAAGCAGCAAAUUUUGAAUAAAGUUAUAAUUUACACUUCAA
ensembl:lncRNA